AAGCAUCAUCAUCAUCAUCAUCAUCAUUAUUACUACCACAAUCAUCACCAUUAUUACCACCAUUACAUCAUUAUUAUUAUUACUACCAUUAUUAGUAUCAUUAUUACUACUAUUACCAUCAGUAUUAUUAUUCUACCAUCAUCAUCAUCCUUAUUGCUUCCAUUAUCAUCAUUAUUAUUUCUGCCCACCAUCAUCAUAAUCAUCAAUAUCAUUAUUAUUAUUUCCAUCAUCAUAAUCAUCAUCAUAUUAAUCAUCAUCAUCAUUGUUAUUACCAACAACAUCAUUAUUACCUCCAUCAAUCAUCAUUAUCACUUCCAUUAUCAUCAUUAUUUUACUUCCAUUAUCAUCAUUGUUAUUUCUGCCCAUCAUCAUCAUAAUCAUCGAUAUCAUUAUUAUUAUUUCCAUCAUCACCAUAAUCAUCAUCAUCGACAUUAUUACUACCAUCAUCACCAUAAUCAGCAUUACUACCAUCAUCAACCUAAUCAUCAUCAUCGUCAUUAUUACUACCAUCAUCACCAUAAUCAGCAUUACUACCAUCAUCAACCUAAUCAUCAUCAUCGUCAUUAUUACUACCAUCAUAAUCAUCUUCAUCAUCUGUAUUACUACCAUCAUGAUCAUCAUCAUUAUUACUACCAUCAUAAUCAUCAUCAUCGUCAUUAUUACUACCAUCAUGAUCAUCAUCAUCAUUACUACCAUCAUCAUCAUUAUCAUUACUACUACCAUCAUCAUCAUUAUUACUACCAUCAUCAUCAUCAUCAUUACUACCAUCAUCAUCAUCAUUAUUAUUAUAUCAUCAUCGUCAUUAUCAUUACUACUACCAUCAUCAUUAUUACUACCAUCAUCAUCAUCAUUACUACCAUCAUCAUCAUCAUUAUUAUUAUAUCAUCAUCAUCAUUAUCAGUAUUACUACCACCAUCGUCAUCAUCAUUAUCAUUACUACUACCAUCAUCAUCAUCAUCAUCAUCAUCAUCAUUACCACCAUCAUCAUUAUCAUUACUACAUCUUCAACAUCAUUAUUGUUACAUCUUCAUCAUCAUUAUUACCAUCAUCAUCAUCAUCAUCAUAAAUGCUAUCAUCAUCAUCAUCAUUAUUAUUACUACCAUCAUGAUCAUCAUCAUUAUUAUUACUACAUUAUCAUCAUAA
rnacentral:lncRNA from 13 species